AGUCUGGUGCCAGCAGCCGCGGUAAUUCCAGCUCUGAUAGUAUAUAUUAAAGUUGUUGCAGUUAAAAAGCUCGUAGUUGAAACUUGGGUGUGUAGGGGCGGUCUCUUUUAGAGUACUACCCUGAAACAUCUUUCUUUGGUGUAAACUCUUUAUUCACUUAAGGAGUGUAAACCAAACAUUUACUUUGAAAAAAUUAGAGUGUUCAAAGCAGGCCUUUGCUCGAAUAUAUUAGCAUGGAAUAAUAGAAUAGGACGUAUGGUUCUAUUUUGUUGGUUUCUAGGACCGUCGUAAUGAUUAAUAGGGACGGUCGGGGGCAUCAGUAUUCAGUUGUCAGAGGUGAAAUUCUUGGAUUUACUGAAGACUAACUACUGCGAAAGCAUUUGCCAAGGACGUUUUCAUUAAUCAAGAACGAAAGUUAGGGGAUCGAAGACGAUCAGAUACCGUCGUAGUCUUAACCGUAAACUAUGCCGACUAGGGAUCGGAGGGCGUUAUAAUAACCUCUCCGGCACCUUACGAGAAAUCAAAGUUUUUGGGUUCUGGGGGGAGUAUGGUUGCAAGGCUGAAACUUAAAGGAAUUGACGGAAGGGCACCACCAGGAGUGGAGCCUGCGGCUUAAUUUGACCCAACACGGGGAAACUCACCAGGUCCAGACACAAUAAGGAUUGACAGAUUGAGAGCUCUUUCAUGAUUUUGUGGGUGGUGGUGCAUGGCCGUUCUUAGUUGGUGGAGUGAUUUGUCUGCUUAAUUGCGAUAACGAACGAGACCUUAACCUGCUAAAUAGCUGUAACAAUAGAUUAUUGUUUUGACAGCUUCUUAGAGGGACUAUCGAUUUUCAAGUCGAUGGAAGUUUGAGGCAAUAACAGGUCUGUGAUGCCCUUAGACGUUCUGGGCCGCACGCGCGCUACACUGACGGAGCCAGCGAGUCUAACCUGUGCCGAGAGGUAUGGGUAAUCUUGUGAAACUCCGUCGUGCUGGGGAUAGAGCAUUGCAAUUAUUGCUCUUCAACGAGGAAUUCCUAGUAAGCGCAAGUCAUCAGCUUGCGUUGAUUACGUCCCUGCCCUUUGUACACACCGCCCGUCGCUACUACCGAUUGAAUGGCUUAGUGAGGCUUCCGGAUUGAUUAACUGGAGAGGGCAACUUUUCUGGUUGAACGAGAAGCUAGUCAAACUUGGUCAUUUAGA
rnacentral:rRNA from 1 species